AAAUUUGUCUGAUUUUUACAGGCAGGCCCUCUUUAAAUGGAUUAGCCAAUCAGAACGCGCUAUGUUCCGAUGAACAUGAAUUAAUUAAUGCUCACCUCCUGUUUAUCAUUCGCUGGUUUUUAAUUCAGUCCAUUCAUCUCCACACUAUUAGGACAAUUCGUGGCGUGCUAAACAACACCAAGCAGAGAUGUUUCCUGGCAAAGAAUUUAUGCGGAGUGCCGUGCUUGUCGCCAUCGGCGGGAUAGUUGCAUUGUUGGUUUCAAAAUUGUUAGAGGGUGACGAAGGAGCAGCAGCGCAGAGAGACAUGAGAGAGAUCGGAGGAGAAGAUGAGUUGAACGAAGCUGGGAAGCAGCCACAAGAACAUGACGAGAGGUUGUGCCCUGAAGGAAUAUAAAGCACAAGAGAGACAUUAUUGCAGCCAACAUUUUAGUGCUUUAACUAUUAGACGUCAGAUUUACCUGAAUUCCCACAGUUCCUAGCUUGGAACACCGAAGUAUGUCAGUAGUUGUCGCGGACAGUUUUAAAGUAGAGAAUUGUAAACAUCUUAUCUAACUGUUUUCUUUGUACGUAGUUUUGUAAGAUGCUUGUUUGCUGCAUAGUACGGACAGUAAGCACCGCGAACUUGUGUUUGUAUAAAAUGAUACUGCCUUGUUACAUAACCGAUCACUCUACGUUGAUAAAAUGUUAUUCAUGUCAAA